CUGCACGUCGCCUCCCCCACAGUUUCCCGAUCCUCGUUUUCCGCAAGGAAUGUCUAUUGCAGGCCUCUCUUCCAAGGCUUGGUUUACCCGCAAUAUGCAACUUCCGAGCCUGAUCCAGGACCUCGUCGAAUGCUGCAGUUGGAUCUAUUGUGGCCGGUCUCUGUCCGGCACCCGGACAGCCAAGUCUAGCUGAGGGAACGAGUUUCGGAACUUAACCCUAAGCAUACAUCUGGUUCAGUUUGCGCUCAGUCGUCCAAUCUCCCUUCUAAGUCGACUGUGCUCCAUAUGGAGCCAGUAUCGAUGGACUGGGGGAGGACAUCCAGUCACCUGAGGGUGCGCAAGAGGAAGGAUGCCAUGGGUCAUUAUGGUAAGAGCCUCUGGUCUGAGGACGCUCGUCAGCCCUCUCCGCUGGAAUUCGCACUUUGGUCGAGAAUAGGCUGUCCUUGAGAUGCAGCCGGCAUUUCAGGCAGAGAGACUGGCCUUGUCUGUUGGGAUCUGCGACGGUGGCUUCAUCCCCCCGGUGCAAGGUCUAUGGCAUGGAGCUUGAGCACAGAGAGGGCCUCAUACAGUCAAAAACCGCAUUUCAGAAACUACACUCUGUCCUUAUGGCACCUUGCCGGAAGCCCGCUUCAUAGCAGUGUCGCGAGUGCCAUUUGGAAUCACACAGAAAUGCAACGGUUUUGAUCAACCCUAACGCCAUUCUGCAAUGCUCUCGGAUGCUCCCUACAUGCCCGCCUAUUUUCAGGAUAUGCGUCAACACGAAUGUCAACGUCAUGACCUCUGUCUGCUAGCUCUUUGCUCCUUGGACCACACCACAGCACCCGCUCUCGGUGUGUGAUGCUGUGGGCAUCUAGUCUGACCAAGCGCAUUAACCUUCGGUCGUUGGCUCUGUCCCUCGAUCUUGCAAGGACGCCAGUUCCUGGCUGGGCUACCCAGCAACUUCCUCAGUGAUCUCGUAAAGAGACUACUGGGAUGAUAACGCGGCUUUUACGGAUGUGUUUUGUGCGCGUGUUGAUGCCCUCCUAACCAUGGGAGUUCUGGAGAGGAAACAAAAACAAGUUCACGUUGGCAGUGCGAGACACACAGAAGGAGGCUCCCCUGACUACAUCUGGAAUAUCUAGGCUACGAUACGAUGCUCGGACUUUGGACUUGGUGAAUUUGAAGAAGGCAGCAAAUCCAUUAUGGGAUUGGCUCCGGGCAUCGGUCCAUUUCGGACACCGCGAAUGCGACUCGGUGUCGAGUUUGAGAUGGAACCAGGACCCAUCUUGAGUUGGUGUCAAAGUUUAGCACUUGUCUCGUUCCUUGCUCAACUCGUUCCUUUGGGUCCAAUUCGCGGGCUGCCGCCAUUUGAUUUGCUCAUUGACACCACGUACUUUGUACGAUUAUUGGAUUAUAAGGACACACCAUAGACUUGGAAGGCAGUCCUGGUUGUCCUUCUCCCAGAAAUGGCUGGAGGACAAUCCCCCGCUGGUGAGG
rnacentral:telomerase_RNA from 1 species